rnacentral:rRNA from 1 species
AUUGAACGCUGGCGGCAGGCCUAACACAUGCAAGUCGAGCGGAUGAAGGGAGCUUGCUCCUGGAUUCAGCGGCGGACGGGUGAGUAAUGCCUAGGAAUCUGCCUGGUAGUGGGGGAUAACGUCCGGAAACGGGCGCUAAUACCGCAUACGUCCUGAGGGAGAAAGGGGGGGAUCUUCGGACCCCACGCUAUCGGAUAAGCCUAGGUCGGAUUAGCUAGUUGGUGGGGUAAAGGCCUACCAAGGCGACGAUCCGUAACUGGUCUGAGAGGAUGAUCAGUCACACUGGAACUGAGACACGGUCCAGACUCCUACGGGAGGCAGCAGUGGGGAAUAUUGGACAAUGGGCGAAAGCCUGAUCCAGCCAUGCCGCGUGUGUGAAGAAGGUCUUCGGAUUGUAAAGCACUUUAAGUUGGGAGGAAGGGCAGUAAGUUAAUACCUUGCUGUUUUGACGUUACCAACAGAAUAAGCACCGGCUAACUUCGUG